rnacentral:lncRNA from 1 species
UAGUUGUAAGAGAUUUUAUUCGCAACUUUUGAUUUAAUUAACCGAAUACUUUUUCUCGCGUCAUAUCCUGACCGGUUACUAAAACUCUGGAAGCCAUCCGUUAAGAAGCACUGGUCUUUCACUCCAGAUAAUAGCAGGACCUGAUGGAUGGGCAAAAGUGCCUUUUUCUUUUUCACUUGUAAUGCAAGCAGUACGCUGUUGCCAUAGGAGGACCGAAUGAAAAAGUGCCUGUAGGUAACGAUUUUCAUUAAAGAUAUUAGAUGUGAUGUUGAAUUAUCUUCCUUCGACAUUUGUAACUUAUCUUUUAGGAAUGUCAACCAUUGUGAUAGUAGAAAUCAAUGAUAACGUUGUUUUUUUUCAGUUUUCAACAAUGAAUAUUAUAUUUUAACACUAGUAUGAAAAACUUUAAUUACAAAAAUUUAAUUUUUAAGCAAAGGAGACUUAUAAUUCUCGCUGUAACUCAUCCAUUGUGUAUCCAAUUGUAAGUUUUUGGCAAAUGUAAUUUUACUUUAGGUGCCUUUUCGUUUUAUUUUAUUUCUUGUGAAUUUAAUAGCGCAGUAAUUCUAUUUUUUUUGUGCAUUUCCACAGAUUGGUCGAAGAAUAAAACAAUUGUCUGCACUGAUAUCGUUAUUCAUGGACUUCGUUUGGUUUUUAUUCGUCUUCAGUUAAUCUUCGAUCACGAGUAAAAGCAUUUUCGAUUCCACCGAAACAACACUGAUCGUGAGCUACGUUUCUUCCUGCUCUGUUGGCUGAUUCAUCUUUGAAGCAUACAUUCUCCGCAAUUACUUAAGAUUAUCCAACAAAUGAGAGAGAAUAAAGUUCAACUUGGUAGUGCUCACACAACCAUUGUCUAUAUGGAUAUCGUCUUUCCUGGACUAUAUUCCUGAUUUUCUGUUUUUAUCGUCACCUUACAAGACGAGGAAAAGCAACUGGCCGUUCAUUCCAGAUAAUGGCGGGACCUGAUGGAUGGGCAAAAGUGCCUUUUUCUCUUUCCACUGGUAGUGCAAGCAGUAAUUGUUGCCAAAGAAGGACUUAAUGAAAAAGUAUCGAUUAUCCAACAAAUGAGAAAGAAUAAAGUUCAACUUGGUGGUAUUCACAUGGAUAUCGUCUUUCCUGGACUAUAUUCUUGAUUUCCUAUUUUCAUCGUCACCUUGCAACAUUAUACACGUAAUUGUCAACCGACGAGGGAAAGCAACUGGAGAUAUUCCACUGAAACAACAAAUUUUCGGCUAUGUGGUAGUCCUCCUGGAUUUUGUUUGCUUACAGUCUACAGUUAAUUAAGAUCGACGAUGGAGAAGACAAAUAAGAUGCGUAGUUAGUUCAUUAUCUUGCAUGCUCUAUCUAAUAGAAUUAAUUCUUGAAGUUUAUUUUAUUCAAAUUAAUUGUUUAUUUUGCAUG